rnacentral:rRNA from 1 species
AUCCUUGGCCAUACCACCCUGGGUGUGCCCGAACUUGUCUGAUCUCGGAAGCUAAGUAGGGUUGGGCCUGGUUAGUACUUCAACGUGUGACAUCUAGAUUUGAGGACUAGGAGGUCAGGAAUG